rnacentral:rRNA from 1 species
AGCGAACGCUGGCGGCAGGCCUAACACAUGCAAGUCGAGCGGCCGUAGCAAUACGGCAGCGGCAGACGGGAGAGUAACACGUGGGAACGCGCCCCUCGGUUCGGGAUAACUCAGGGAAACUUGGGCUAAUACCGGAUACGCCCUUACGGGGAAAGAUUUAUUGCCGAAGGAACGGCCCGCGUCCGAUUAGCUUGUUGGUGAGGUAACGGCUCACCAAGGCGACGAUCGGUAGCUGGUCUGAGAGGAUGACCAGCCUCACUGGGACUGAGACACGGCCCAGACUCCUACGGGAGGCAGCAGUGGGGAAUAUUGGACAAUGGGCGCAAGCCUGAUCCAGCCAUGCCGCGUGGGUGAUGAAGGCCCUAGGGUUGUAAAGCCCUUUCAGCGGGGAAGAUAAUGACGGUACCCGCAGAAGAAGCCCCGGCUAACUUCGUGCCAGCCGCCGCCGUAAGAC